rnacentral:rRNA from 1 species
UACGGAGGGUGCAAGCGUUAAUCGGAAUCACUGGGCGUAAAGCGCGCGUAGGUGGCUAUUUAAGUCAGAUGUGAAAGCCCUGGGCUCAACCUGGGAAUGGCAUUUGAUACUGGAUAGCUAGAGUAUGGUAGAGGUGAGUGGAAUUUCAGGUGUAGCGGUGAAAUGCGUAGAGAUCUGAAGGAACAUCAGUGGCGAAGGCGACUCACUGGCCCGUAACUGACGCUCAGGCGCGAUAGCGUGGGGAUCAAACAGG